rnacentral:misc_RNA from 1 species
AUGCGCGGUUAGCUGCACGCUU